rnacentral:rRNA from 1 species
AACGAACGCUGGCGGCAGGCCUAACACAUGCAAGUCGAGCGAGGACUUCGGUUCUAGCGGCGGACGGGUGAGUAACGCGUGGGAAUGUGCCCUUCUCUACGGAAUAGCCCUGGGAAACUGGGAGUAAUACCGUAUACGCCCUAUUGGGGAAAGAUUUAUCGGAGAAGGAUCAGCCCGCGUUGGAUUAGGUAGUUGGUGGGGUAAUGGCCUACCAAGCCGACGAUCCAUAGCUGGUUUGAGAGGAUGAUCAGCCACACUGGGACUGAGACACGGCCCAGACUCCUACGGGAGGCAGCAGUGGGGAAUCUUAGACAAUGGGGGCAACCCUGAUCUAGCCAUGCCGCGUGAGUGAUGAAGGCCUUAGGGUUGUAAAGCUUUUUCAGCUGGGAAGAUAAUGACGGUACCAGCAGAAGAAGCCCCGGCUAACUCCGUG